UGAGGAAUAUUGGUCAAUGGGCGAGAGCCUGAACCAGCCAAGUAGCGUGCAGGAUGACGGCCCUAUGGGUUGUAAACUGCUUUUAUGUGGGGAUAAAGUGCGUGACGUGUCAUGCAUUGCAGGUACCACAUGAAUAAGGACCGGCUAAUUCCGUGCCAGCAGCCGCGGUAAUACGGAAGGUCCGGGCGUUAUCCGGAUUUAUUGGGUUUAAAGGGAGCGUAGGCUGUCUAUUAAGCGUGUUGUGAAAUUUACCGGCUCAACCGGUUGCUUGCCGCGCGAGCUGGUCGACUUGAGUAUGCAGGACGUAGGCGGCAUUCAUCGUGUAGCGGUGAAAUGCUUAGCUCUCAUGACGAACUCCGAUUGCGCGGGCAGCUUACUGUAGCAUAACUGACGCUGAUGCUCGAAAGUGCGGGUAUCAAACAGG
rnacentral:rRNA from 1 species